rnacentral:lncRNA from 1 species
AAAAAUUAUCAACUUAGUAGAUGUGAUCUAAUCUGCCAGGCAGAUUUCAAAUAAUUACAUAAUUUUCCAACUAAAGAUCUAGAUUUUGUUCGAUACAGAUACAUAAGUUUUGUCACAUUUGGCCACGAACAGUAAUAAUUUGGUAAAAACUGCAGUCGUACAUGUCUAUACACAGGACACACUAACGUAAAAUGGUACUCAUCUUCAACACUUUUCAUAUUACAGCAAGUACAUAAUCUGUUUUCUCUUAGUAUAUUUGUAUAACGCCCCACCUCAACAUUUAACUUCAUAGUACCACUACGUAGCUUUGUGAAAAAAUGUGAAUUAUAGUUAUAGUCUACGUAAUCUUCAAAACAAAAAUCUAAUUUUAAAAUUCUGUACAUAGUAAGUUUCUCACAAUCCUGUAUAGAUGCAGACCAGCUUUGAAUAUAUUGAUCUUUUAACCUAGUUUUUAUUACAUCUAAUGAUAUAUUUAUACCAGACUGCUGGUACCAUACAAAG